rnacentral:rRNA from 1 species
GACAGAGGAUGCAAGCGUUAUCCGGAAUGAUUGGGCGUAAAGCGUCUGUAGGUGGCUUUUUAAGUCCGCCGUCAAAUCCCAGGGCUCAACCCUGGACAGGCGGUGGAAACUACCAAGCUGGAGUACGGUAGGGGCAGAGGGAAUUUCCGGUGGAGCGGUGAAAUGCGUAGAGAUCGGAAAGAACGCCGGUGGCGAAAGCGGUCUGCUGGACCUCUUCUGACGCUGAGGCGCGAAAGCCAGGGGAGCAAACGGG